ensembl:lncRNA
UGUGAAUGAACCUCAACAGCAAAAAGAGUGAUUCUAGCAUUAUGCACACUAACAUAUUGCAGCAUCUAAAAGAUUUUGAGACAAGGAUGGCAGCACUUACUGAAGCGACUGUGAUCCGCAUUGCAAUGAACAGAGAGAGAGAGCAGUGAAAAAUACCUCUUUCAAUAUAAACCAGAAACCGUUCAAUGCGUGCAAAUGACUGAUCAAUAUCAAAUAUCCCAGAGGGCAACGUGACAUAUAAGAUAAUUCAUAAUUAAUUUCUACAGCCUGUGAAACUGGAUUCUACAUUCUCGACUGGCGCUUCCAUCACUUCAUAUUUUUAAUUUCAGCUGUGAGCUGUUUGAAGAUGCGUCUUAACAGAGAUUUACGGCAGACAGCAUAUCCUCAAAUCUUCCUGAUGAGAUGAGCUGUAAUUCGCAAACAGUGACGGUGUAAUAAUCCCACUCUUGUCAGAUAUGUUAACCGGAGCAUGUCAACCAUCAGAACCCCUCCGCACCUCCAGUCCUGCGAGAUAAAAGGGCCUUGUGCAAACUUAUGGCUGUAUGCAUCAUUUUGACUUGAUCAGACCUGCCGCGGUUUACAGAGAGCUGAGGAAAUGAUUCCAGAAACACAGAACAGCGGUCAGUUCAUGCAAUGUUUUGCUGGUCUGAACAGUCAGAACAAGCAUAAAGCAGGUUUUAAAGGAGCGCUUUGUUACUUUGUCAGACAGAAAGUGAAACUGUGUUCUGCUGUUCUUUUUUCGCUGACAGGUUUUUCCGUGGUAAGACAGCAACAGGUCAGUAAAUAGUUGUUGAAAUGUCAUCAGCCGAAGAGAGUAUUGAGUUUUGAAAACAGACUCUCCAGUCUAGACAAGCAAUCGCCCCAGUUUCUGAGUCGUCCUGCUCCUUAAUGAUGUCUAAUGGUGAUUCUCCCUCUCCCCGAUGAGACCACAUGCCUCAGCUUUCUUCUUCAUUUUGAUUGUUUCUUUCUUCUCUCCAUUCUCAGCAUUUUCCCCGUGCGGUGAGAAAGCCUUGUGGACUCAUUAAGAGUGUAGUUGACCUCAGUGUCUCGCUCCGUCUCUCUCUCUCAUAUUCUCUUCUCUUUUUGCCCCCAUUUGUUGUUUUGUUCUUUUUCAUAAUCUAAACUGAGGAAUGAAUAUACAGCCCAGAGCUGCUCCGGAAAAAUCCCCAAAGGCUUCAUAAAUGUGACAUAAGGGCCAAAGAACACUGGUGAUGUACUGAAAAAACACUGGCUAAUCUAUGAAAUAUACUGUUUCUUAAUUUUAUUAUAUACAGACUGGUGGCCAAAAGUUUUGAGUAAUUAAGAUUUUUAAAUGUUUUUGAAAGAAGUCUCGUCUGCUCACCAGGGCUGCAGUUAUUUGUUUAAAAAUACAGAGAAAAUUGUAAAAUAUUAUUAAAGUUUAAAACAGCUGUUUUCUAUGUGAAUCUCUGUUAAAGUGUAAUUUAUUUCUGUGAUGCGAAGCUGUAUUUUCAGCAUCAUUACUCCAGUCUUCAGUGUCACAUGAUCUUCAGAAAUCAUUCUAAUAUGAUGAGCUGCUGCUCAAGAAACAUUUCUGAUUAUUAUCAAUGUUGAACACAGUUGUAUUGCACAAUAUUUUUGUGGAAACUGUGAUAAAUUUAAUUUUUCGGGAUUAUUUGAUGAAUAAAAAAUUCAAAAGAACAGCAUUUAUUCGAAAUAAAAA